GGCCAGGCCGGCCAUGAGGGCACUUGGCCGGUGUGCACCGGCAGGCCCGAGCCUCUGCCAGGGCCAGGCGGGUACUGUGAAGUCAGAAGUGGUGGGCUGAGCCUUGGGGAGACCUGAAGUUAAGGCUGCAGCUGAUAAUGAAAAAUUGUGUGAUGUGAGCAGCUGUCUGGUUUACUCCACCAUGCCUGAACCUCUAGCAAAUAAUGGGUACUGUGAAAUCAGAAGUGGUGGGCUGAGCCUUGGGGAGACCUGAAGUUAAGGCUGCAGCUGAUAAUGAGGAAUUGUGUGAUGUGAGCAGCUGUCUGGUUUGCUCUACUACUUGUGCCCCUUGGUCAGGGGAGAAUGGUUGAAAUUUAUAAGAAGUUGUCCUGGCUGGGCCCUGCUGGAGUUUCAUUGUUCUGCUAAAGAAGACUGAUGGUUCUGCUGCUCCCAUGCUGCUGCCUGGGAUCUUCAUCCAAGACACAGCGUUCCCAUCACCCUGCAGCAGCUCUGACCUUCUCUCAAAGCUGUCAGGAGUGAUGAAUUUGUGUCCUGCAAACUUAGAUGGAGGAUGUUUAUGUUUUUUGUCCUCUGGGCACAAGGCAUGUAACUGAUAGAUUCUGGAAAGUGCUGCAUGUUUAAUGCAGCUGCAUGCUUUUGUCUGCAGGGGCUGCAUUCCCUUCCUGGCAGCUUAUGUUACCCUGCCAUAGUCACAGAAGGCAAGGAAGCCUCCCUGGGCUGUCAGGUACCAGGAGGAUGGCCUUGGGUGUCAGGGCUUGGUUCUCUCCUGCCACUUCAGUGGUGCAUCCCUGGCAGCCUGUGAAGGGGGCAGGGGCUGUCUGGGAUGCUGCAGCACAGUGUGUUUCUGUAGUGUUGGGUGCCUGAUUUUAAUAAAAUCUGAGUAAUGAAUGAGUUCAGCUGAUGACUGGAAUUCUCUUGAUCCACGUUUAACAGCUCAUUCCUGGAUCUCCCAGUUGUGUGAGGAGUUGAAGAGUACAGCACCAGUGUGCUGCUGUGAGAGAUGCUGGAGCUGCCUCAGGCCAAGAGAAGAGGCAUGAUUGAUCUCAUGGCAACAGAGCUGCACACACCCUGCAGUGGAAGCGCUUGGCUGGGGCUUGUGGCUGCUGCUGUGUGCAGAUUUACCAGCAAACA